UACGUAGGGUGCGAGCGUUAAUCGGAAUUACUGGGCGUAAAGCGUGCGCAGGCGGUUUUGUAAGCCAGAUGUGAAAUCCCCGGGCUCAACCUGGGAAUGGCAUUUGGGACUGCAAGGCUCGAGUGCGGCAGAGGAGACUGGAAUUCCUGGUGUAGCAGUGAAAUGCGUAGAUAUCAGGAAGAACACCAAUAGCGAAGGCAGCUCGCUGGGACGUUACUGACACUGAGGCGCGAAAGCGUGGGGAGCGAACAGG
rnacentral:rRNA from 1 species